rnacentral:rRNA from 1 species
AUUGAACGCUGGCGGCAGGCCUAACACAUGCAAGUCGAGCGGAUGAAGGGAGCUUGCUCCUGGCUUCAGCGGCGGACGGGUGAGUAAUGCCUAGGAAUCUGCCUGGUGGUGGGGGAUAACGUCCGGAAACGGGCGCUAAUACCGCAUACGUCCUGAGGGAGAAAGUGGGGGAUCUUCGGACCUCACGCUAUCAGAUGAGCCUAGGUCGGAUUAGCUAGUUGGUGGGGUAAAGGCCUACCAAGGCGACGAUCCGUAACUGGUCUGAGAGGAUGAUCAGUCACACUGGAACUGAGACACGGUCCAGACUCCUACGGGAGGCAGCAGUGGGGAAUAUUGGACGAUGGGCGAAAGCCUGAUCCAGCCAUGCCGCGUGUGUGAAGAAGGUCUUCGGAUUGUAAAGCACUUUAGGUUGGGAGGAAGGGCAGUAAGUUAAUACCUUGCUGUUUUGACGUUACCAACAGAAUAAGCACCGGCUAACUUCGUG